rnacentral:pre_miRNA from 1 species
AGUGGGAUAGCUGAGUCAAAAGGUGGUUCCAUUCCCAGUUUCCAAGGAAUCUUCAUACUGCUUUCCAGAUUGGCAGUACCAAUUGCAGUCCCACCAGCAAU